rnacentral:rRNA from 1 species
AACGAACGCUGGCGGCAGGCUUAACACAUGCCAGUCGAGCGCCUCGCCAGAGGAGCGGCCGACGGGUGAGUAACGCGUGGGAACGUACCCUUAUCUUCGGAAUAGCUCUGGGAAACUGGAAGUAAUACCGAAUGUGCCCUUAGGGGGAAAGAUUUAUCGGAUAAGGAUCGGCCCGCGUUGGAUUAGCUAGUUGGUGGGGUAAAGGCCUACCAAGGCGACGAUCCAUAGCUGGUCUGAGAGGAUGAUCAGCCACAUUGGGACUGAGACACGGCCCAAACUCCUACGGGAGGCAGCAGUGGGGAAUAUUGGACAAUGGGCGCAAGCCUGAUCCAGCCAUGCCGCGUGAGUGAUGAAGGCCUUAGGGUUGUAAAGCUCUUUCACCGGAGAAGAUAAUGACGGUAUCCGGAGAAGAAGCCCCGGCUAACUUCGUG